AACGAACGCUGGCGGCAGGCUUAACACAUGCAAGUCGAACGAGAUCUUCGGAUCUAGUGGCAGACGGGUGAGGAACACGUGGGAACAUCCCUUUCAGUUCGGAAUAACGUUGGGAAACUAACGCUAAUACCAGAUACGUCCUUCGGGAGAAAGAUUUAUCGCUGAAAGAUUGGCCCGCGUCUGAUUAGCUAGUUGGUGAGGUAACGGCUCACCAAGGCUACGAUCAGUAGCUGAUCUGAGAGGAUGAUCAGCCACAUUGGGACUGAGACACGGCCCAAACUCCUACGGGAGGCAGCGGUGGGGAAUAUUGGACAAUGGGCGCAAGCCUGAUCCAUCCAUGCCGCGUGAGUGAUGACGGCCUUCGGGUUGUAAAGCUCUUUUGUCCGGGAAGAUAAUGACUGUACCGGAAGAAUAAGCCCCGGCAAACUUCGUGCCAGCCGCCGCAGUAA
rnacentral:rRNA from 1 species